rnacentral:rRNA from 1 species
UACGAAGGGGGCUAGCGUUGUUCGGAAUUACUGGGCGUAAAGCGUGCGCAGGCGGCUUCUCAAGUCAGGGGUGAAAGCCCAGAGCUCAACUCUGGAAUUGCCUUUGAGACUGAGUGGCUUGAGUACGAGAGAGGUGAGUGGAAUUCCCAGUGUAGAGGUGAAAUUCGUAGAUAUUGGGAAGAACACCAGUGGCGAAGGCGACUCACUGGUCCAUAACUGACGCUGAGGUGCGAAAGCGUGGGGAGCAAACAGG